rnacentral:rRNA from 1 species
AUUGAACGCUGGCGGCAGGCUUAACACAUGCAAGUCGAGCGGGGUGAUGGUGCUUGCACUAUCACUUAGCGGCGGACGGGUGAGUAAUGCUUAGGAAUCUGCCUAUUAGUGGGGGACAACAUCUCGAAAGGGAUGCUAAUACCGCAUACGUCCUACGGGAGAAAGCAGGGGAUCACUUGUGACCUUGCGCUAAUAGAUGAGCCUAAGUCGGAUUAGCUAGUUGGUGGGGUAAAGGCCUACCAAGGGGACGAUCUGUAGCGGGUCUGAGAGGAUGAUCCGCCACGCUGGGACUGGGACACGGCCCAGACUCCUACGGGAGGGAGCAGUGGGGAAUAUUGGACAAUGGGGGGAACCCUGAUCCAGCCAUGCCGCGUGUGUGAAGAAGGCCUUAUGGUUGUAAAGCACUUUAAGCGAGGAGGAGGCUCUUUUGGUUAAUACCCAAGAUGAGUGGACGUUACUCGCAGAAUAAGCACCGGCUAACUCUGUGCCAGCAGCCGCCGUAA